rnacentral:rRNA from 1 species
CCUACGGGAGGCAGCAGUAGGGAAUAUUGCUCAAUGGGCGAAACCCUGAAGCAGCAACGCCGCGUGGAGGAUGAAGGUUUUCGGAUUGUAAACUUCUUUUGUUAGAGAAGAUAAUGACGGUAUGUAACGAAUAAUCACCGGCUAACUCCGUGCCAGCAGCCGCGGUAAUACGCAGGGUGCAAGCGUUACUCGGAAUCACUGGGCGUAAAGAGCGCGUAGGCGGGAUAGCAAGUCAGAUGUGAAAGCCUUUGGCUUAACCGUAGAACUGCAUUUGAAACUGGUAUUCUAGAGUAUGGGAGAGGUAGGUGGAAUUCUUGGUGUAGGGGUAAAAUGCGUAGAGAUCAAGAGGAAUACUCAUUGCGAAGGCGGCUUGCUAGAACAUAACUGACGCUGAUGCGCGAAAGCGUGGGGAGCAAACAGGAUUAGAUACCCGAGUAGUC